AGUAGUUUGAUCCGUGGCUCAGGAUGAACGCUGGCGGCGUGCCUAACACAUGCAAAGUCGAGCGAUUCUCUUCGGAGAAGAGCGGCGGACGGGUGAGUAACGCGUGGGUAACCUGCCCUGUACACACGGAUAACAUACCGAAAGGUAUGCUAAUACGAGAUAAUAUGCUUUUAUCGCAUGGUAGAAGUAUCAAAAGCUCCGGCGGUACAGGAUGGACCCGCGUCUGAUUAGCUAGUUGGUAAGGUAACGGCUUACCAAGGCGACGAUCAGUAGCCGACCUGAGAGGGUGAUCGGCCACAUUGGAACUGAGACACGGUCCAAACUCCUACGGGAGGCAGCAGUGGGGAAUAUUGCACAAUGGCGAAAGCCUGAUGCAGCAACGCCGCGUGAGCGAUGAAGGCCUUCGGGUCGUAAAGCUCUGUCCUCAAGGAAGAUAAUGACGGUACUUGAGGAGGAAGCCCCGGCUAACUACGUG
rnacentral:rRNA from 1 species